rnacentral:rRNA from 1 species
UACGUAGGGGGCAAGCGUUGUCCGGAAUCAUUGGGCGUAAAGAGCGUGUAGGCGGCCAUACAGGUCCGUUGUGAAAACUCGAGGCUUAACCUCGAGACGUCGAUGGAAACCGUAUGGCUAGAGUCCGGAAGAGGAGAGUGGAAUUCCUGGUGUAGCGGUGAAAUGCGCAGAUAUCAGGAAGAACACCCGUGGCGAAGGCGGCUCUCUGGGACGGUACUGACGCUGAGACGCGAAAGCGUGGGGAGCGAACAGG